rnacentral:rRNA from 1 species
AACGAACGCUGGCGGCAGGCCUAAAACAUGCAAGUCGAACGAUGUAGCAAUACAUAGUGGCGCACGGGUGCGUAACGCGUGGGAAUAUGCCCUUCACUACGGAACAACGUCUGGAAACGGACGCUAAUACCGUAUAAUGACUCCGGUCCAAAGAUUUAUCGGUGAAGGAUUAGCCCGCGUCUGAUUAGGUAGUUGGUGAGGUAGUGGCUCACCAAGCCGACGAUCAGUAGCUGGUUUGAGAGGAUGAUCAGCCACACUGGGACUGAGACACGGCCCAGACUCCUACGGGAGGCAGCAGUUAGGAAUAUUGGACAAUGGGGGAAACCCUGAUCCAGCCAUGCCGCGUGUGUGAAGAAGGCCUUAGGGUUGUAAAACACUUUCGGCUGUGAAGAUAAUGACAGUAGCAGAAGAAGAAGCUCCGGCUAAAUUCGUGCCAGCCGCCGCAGUAA